AUACGGAGGGUGCAAACGUUGUUCGGAAUCACUGGGCGUAAAGGGCGCGCAGGCGGUUUGAUUAGUCAGAUGUGAAAGCCCACGGCUUAACCGUGGGAGUGCAUUUGAAACUGUCAGACUUGAGUACUAGAGGGGAAAGUGGAAUUCCCGGUGUAGAGGUGAAAUUCGUAGAUAUCGGGAGGAAUACCGGUGGCGAAGGCGACUUUCUGGCUAGAUACUGACGCUGAGGCGCGAAAGCGUGGGGAGCAAACAGGAUUAGAAACCCUAGUAGUCC
rnacentral:rRNA from 1 species